rnacentral:rRNA from 1 species
AGCAGCCGCGGUAAUUCCAGCUCCAAUAGCGUAUAUUAAAGUUGUUGCAGUUAAAAAGCUCGUAGUUGAAUUUCGGGAUCAAUAUGUCGGUCGUGCCUUCGGUACGUACUGGUAUCAUUGGUCUCUCCUUUCUGACGAACCAUGAUGUCAUUAAUUUGGUGUUAUGGGGAGUUAGGACUGUUACUUUGAAAAAUUAGAGUGUUUAAAGCAGGCUUUAGCUUGAAUACAUUAGCAUGGAAUAAUGAAAUAGGACGUUCGAACCUAUUUUGUUGGUUUCUAGGAUCAACGUAAUGAUUAAUAGGGAUAGUUGGGGGCAUUAGUAUUCAAUUGUCAGAGGUGAAAUUCUUGGAUUUAUUGAAGACUAACUACUGCGAAAGCAUUUGCCAAGGAUGUUUUCAUUAAUCAAGAACGAAAGUUAGGGGAUCGAAGACGAUCAGAUACCGUCGUAGUCUUAACCAUAAACUAUGCCGACUAGGGAUCGGAUGAUGUUAAUUUUUAAUGACUCAUUCGGCGCCUUACG